CAGCCCCAUCACCCAUACAUUCAGACAAAAACAAAAUUGGUGGGGAAACGAAGGAGACACGGUUCAGUCUCGUGCCACGUAGCGUGAAAAUGGGCUGGGUUUUUGCUGGUCUCGUAUGGUGGCCGUGUUUCUUGUUUUCUCAACUGGUUGGAUUCCGCUCCUCCUACAGCCUUAUAUUCCACUAUGUAUUAUUUUCUCAACCAUCGGGAGCUGUUUCUGAGACUACUGUUUUUGGCACUUUUUGAGUCCAUUGGGAGGAGAAGAGAUGCUGGUUCAAUUUUAAGCGAAAACCAAGCUUGGAAAUGCUCACGAAAAUCUCGUUUGCUGGCGCGCAUAAAAUUUCAUCUAGUACAGCUUUUCAGCCAAUGCCCAACGUCUUCAAAGUUCAAAGCACAUGACCUGGCUCUACUUUCUAGGUAACAAUUGCAAUUAUUUUUGAGUAAAUCUUAUAUACGCUGACACAGUGUAUGCACUGUUAUCGUUAGAUUCAUGAAAUUGAAUCUAACCAUAACAGUGUAUACACUAUCAGUGUAGGAAAAAAGACUAAUCCUUUGUAAUAUGAUAUACGCGAAUUUUUUAAAAAGAUAUCCUUAUACUAUAUAAGAAUGAGUUUGAGUCAAAGAAUGGCUUUGAAUUUCAACCGCAAAAGUAGGGGUAUUUUGGGAUUGUAAGGUUGUUUUGAGUGUAGUUAUAGUAUUGGGUACUACUUUAGAUAACAUGUGUAUUAUUCUGUUUACUGAAAUAUCCUUGUAUUCUAAAAGAUGCAGUGAUGAUUUGUUCAAAAGUUUGGGUAGUUUGAAAAUGUGAGAUUAUUUGGUCAUCUUUUCUACAAUGGGUACAACCCCAUAAUAGCUUCUUUAUUGGUGUAAUUACUUAAAUGUCCUUGCAGAGACAUUCAUUUUGGUUUGUGUCAAUUAUUACUGUUACUUUGCUAUCAUAACUUGACGAACUUCAAACGUCAUUUUCAUCUCAAUUAAAGCAAGGACAAUGUGGUUUAUUAAGGAA